GCCGGGUGCAGUGGCUCACGCCUGUAAUCCCAGCACUUUGGGAGGCUGAGGCGGGUGGAUCACGAGGUCAGGAAAUUGAGACCAUCCUGGCUAAGACGGUGAAACCCCGUCUCUACUAAAAAUACAAAAAAUUAGCCGGGCGUGGUGGCGGGCGCCUGUAGUCCCAGCUACUCNNNNNNNNNNUCGGCCUCCCAAAGUGCUGGGAUUACAGGCUUGAGCCACCACGCCCGGCUAAUUUUUUGUAUUUUUAGUAGAGACGGGGUUUCACCGUCUUAGCCAGGAUGGUCUCGAUCUCCUGACCUCGUGAUCCGCCCGCCUCGG
rfam:Chlorocebus sabaeus isolate 1994-021 chromosome 22, whole genome shotgun sequence.